GAAGGGCCUGUUGUAUUGGGGGUGAAUAAGUCUCUUUUUUUCUGGUAAAAGGGCACCAUUGAUCUUUGGAGGCCUCAGGAGAGGAUGAGUUUGAAUGGCGCUGUGUGGAAAGAUCAGCAAAGACGAGUCUAUGGUCCCUCCUGAUCAUCAGGACAUGGAAGCUUCUGCUUGUGAAUUUACAGCUAAAGACAAUCAAGAUCUUGGUGAGAGACAGAAGGGUCAGAUUCUACAUUGUGUUUGCUGCCAUCACCAUUUCACCAUCUCACAAAGGAAUUAUAGGAAACUUCCUGGGUUUCUUAUAAUUAGAAGAUACCUCUUGGGGGGUUUUCAUGAGUUUUCCAGCCAGUUUUGAAGAUACAGGAGUUUGGGACAGUUUGGUAUAACGGGUAUGAGAAUAUUUGGAUGUUUAUUUAAACUGGACCUUUGAGUGCCAAAAAAGCAAAAAUCUUAAUAGUCAAGUAUACCAUGGACCAGACACAUACCUUUGACAUCCUAGAAAUCCCUCCUGAUGCACUCUCAGAGGCUUUAACUUCAUCCCAAAUAUUUUUUUAAAUCAAAAGAAUAACUUUCUGGACAAAGCACAGGUACUCAUAGCCUGUCAGAAAAAUAAUCUUUUAAUGAGAAAUAAUAGCAUGAUAUCAGAUGAAACAUUGUAUAUUCCUGCAUGCAAGAAAGAAGGCAGCAGUAUGGGUAGCAGAGAAUGGGACCUCUAUGAUCUGUGCCUGUCUUUUCCAUUAGUUAACUGUAUGACUGAGAACAAGGUAUUUGAUCUCCCCAUGCCUCCUGUUCAUCCAUCUGUAAAGUGUAAUUAAUGAUAGUAACUGUAGUAGUAUCUUGAGCUUUGCAAUGUAGAAACAACCUUUCAUUAUGUACAGACAUUUAUAUCCAACUAUUUACAGUACAAAGGUAACAGUUUGCUGCUGCCUUUGCAAUAGGCCUACUGCUGUCCAUUGAGCUGGUGAUCCUCGAGCACCAGCUUCCCUGGACUGGACAUUGUGUGUGGAUAUCUGACUCUCAACUCCCAACCCAAGCGCUCUACUCCUGACUUGGUUGCAGCCUGGGAUCUUAAGGAAAUGCUACAAGAAUUCACUGAAGACGUAUCUCAAGAAAAUGGACAAUGAUAUCAAGAGCUGGCUGCUAACCAACUCCAAUGGCACCACAAGCUCAACCAAGGAGAAGUCUGCUUCAAGAUGAAGCAUCUUACCCUCAAAACAGCAAAGAGAAAGCGAAAGAAGGAAAAGGAGAGAAAUCCUGGCCUAUGGCCUACUCUCCCCUGUGGAAAGACCUGAAGGUCUGCGGAUGGAUCUGUAGUUCGUUCUGUAGUUCGUUCAAGGAUUGGAUUCUUAAGUCACCUCAAGACCCAUCAAUGAGCCAUAGUAGAGAUCAUCUUUGAAUUGAGGGUUAGCCUGCAACAAGUUCAAGUCCUGUUCUCCCACCCAGAAAUUCCUGCUGACCACAGCAAGAGUCUCGCGGGAUAACACACUUCUUGGACAAUGUGUGAGACCAGGGACAUUUACUCCAAGACACAGUAACCUGCUUUGCUGGGGUGUUGGGAGGCUUUGCUAACAUUUGCAGAGCCCUCAGAUCUCUGAUACAAAGUUUUAUGCAGGUGGUUAGUUCAUGCACCAGUAUUAUGGGAAACGAUAAUGAUGAACCACAUGAGGAAAGGAAAUACAGAAAAAAAUACUGGUUCUGUAGGAAUGUGUUAGACUAGUUUCUCAGUGUAGUACCAAAUAUUCUUCAAAGAUCCUUAAGUGGCAGCUCAUUUGAAAAAUCUAUAUAUUCAUUUUCCUGUUUUGUAUUAUGUUAUAUGGAAUUUUUUCUCAUUAGCUGUUACAUUUCCAUAUAGCAAAUCUUUAGGGAGGUAUGUAUAUAUCGCUACGCAUAUAAGCAACACUAAAUACGGCUUUAUAUUUCCUGACUCUUAGCGGAAUUGGACAAUGUUUAAAAGUUACGAAGGGCACCUGUGGCCGAUUAAUGUCAGUUCUCAUUUCAUCCUCUGGAGGAUAUUCACACAUUGCACCCCAAGGGGUGCAUUAACAUUCAUAGCUCCUCCAGGGGAAGAAACAUAUGGAGGCUCCACAGGGACAAACUUCAUGAUCUGAAUUGCCAAUCAGUGCAUGUCUGAGCCUCAGCUGUGGAAAAUCUUGCAGAUAACAAGACUUCAUGCUUCCACAAUUCUCAUUUUAAUCUGUCAGUUACUAAAUAUGGUUUCAGUAUUGCUCAAGUCAGUAAAAGACCUAGAACACUACCUUAUUAUAGAGAGGUGGUAGCCUCUGCAUAUAUACAGUGCAGCAGCUUCCAUUAUAACAAUCUGUUUUGUUUUCCUUAUAACUUUGACCUGUAGAAUUGGAUUGGCCUGAAAACUGAAAUGUUUACUCUGAAAGCAGAGGAGAACCUUUCUUCUUAGUUUGAUGAAAAUUUGUCAACUGUUUCUUUUUGAAUCAUUUAAAUAUAUCACCUUGAUCUUAGGUUUUGAUUUCAUUUCCCUCUAUCUCAAGAAAUUGAUUGUUGUUGUUCCCAUGCACUUUGCAUAUAGCCAUAUAUCCUUGAAAAUUAUGGCUGUAUAUAAAGAAUAUAUGCUGCAAUUAAAGCAAAAUUAU